CCUACGGGGGGCAGCAGUGGGGGAUAUUGCACAAUGGGGGAAACCCUGAUGCAGCGACGCCGCGUGUGGGAAGACGGUCCUCUGGAUUGUAAACCACUGUCCCCAGGGACGAAGAUGACGGUACCUGGGGAGGAAGCUCCGGCUAACUACGUGCCAGCAGCCGCGGUAAUACGUAGGGAGCGAGCGUUGUCCGGAAUUACUGGGUGUAAAGGGAGCGUAGGCGGGGAUGCAAGUUGGGUGUCAAAACUACCGGCUCAACUGGUAGUCGCACUCAAAACUGCAGCUCUUGAGUGAAGUAGAGGCAG
rnacentral:rRNA from 1 species